rnacentral:lncRNA from 1 species
UUCCAAUUGAUUGGAUAAAAUGAAUGGAUUGCCGCCCCUAUUUCAAACUGAAGUCCUAUAAACUGACUGGUAUUCGAAUUUGUUAAAAGAAAAAAAAAUUGUAUCUCUAUUGAUUCAAUACCGUAAUGCCGAAAAACAAUCAUUUGUUUCCGCGAAUUCCGAACAGCUAGAAAUAUAUUCCCGAGUUUCAAUUCGAGUAACUCGAAUAAUUCAAGCCAUUUCCGAUUUUCUCCCACACGAGAAAUGUAGCAUUCGUACAUCAGCUGAAUAAUACGACUGAAUUAUUCGGGUUACAAUUUGUGUAAAUCCCGAAUGCACAUAAAAGUAAAGGUCCAGCC